ensembl:processed_transcript
AAUAGGUUAUUGCUGCAAUUGGUGAGGAUCCAUCAUCUUUUGAGAGUAAUGCAAAUUGCGAAUGUCCUGCAUAUCCAGUGAAAUAAUGUGUGUGACCCUGACUGAAUGCAUUCAUCAACCAUCUCCAACCAAGUCAGAGCUUCAAGGACAGCUUGUGCUAAAGGUGCCUGAGCCUGAUUAAGAAAAAAACCAUCUCCACCGGCCAAAGUCUACAAAAAGGCAAGAGAAUAUAAGUUUUCAAAUGAUGGUGGCGCAGUGGGUAGCAUGAUCGCCUCACAUCAAGAAGGUUUCUGGUUCGAGACUCAGCUGGGUCAG